CGCCUCCGUCCGCCGCGCGCAGGACCGGGCUGCAGCCGGGCCGCGCUCUUUGGUUCCGGGGGCCGCCUCGCCCGGGCUGCAGCUCAGUUUUUGGGGUGGAUUCGAGCAGAUCGGGAGCGCUCACGCUCGCCAGUGAUCGAGGGAAACGUUCAAGGUGACUUCGGCGUUGUCGUAGUGAGAGCUCAGGUCCAGGUCCUCGUGCACGGAGUACUUGACCACGAAGGCUUUGUGGCUGUCCAGGCAGGCCCCGCCCAGCUCCGGGUACAGCAGCGCCGUGAUGGGCAGGAGCCGCUCCCGCAGCGGCGUCAGGAAAGGCUCGUCCAUGCCCAGCUCGUUCAGCAGAACCUGUGCCAAGACAACGGGGGGAGCAGCUCAGCCUCCUCAGAGCUCUGCCCUCCUCCAGCCCUGCUGCUGGCUCAGCUCAAGGACUUUGGAGCAAAGGGAAAAGGAAGGAGGAUCAAAGUGGAGAGGGAUGGGGGAAAACGCAGAGUAAUAAGAUUAAAAGGUGGCUUAAAAAGUGGCUGAGGACUUCUCUGUGUGUCAAGUGGAGCUGUGAGGUCUCAGCCCUUUCAGGCAUACUGACACCUCCAGAAUCUGGUUUUUGUUCUGACAAUAGAGGCAUUGUCCAAAAUAAAGACAUUUCCUGGGAGUGAGACAAGUCCUGUCAUGAAGGGAUUACUGCUAAAUGUGGUGGAGACAGGCUAAGCUGCCCUUGCAGAGCAAACAGCUGAUCCAGACAGCUCCUCCCGUUUAUUUCCCCCUCACGAGAUUCAUUUGUAGCAGUCCUCAGUGAGGAGAGAGUGAGCAGCCAUUCCCUGGGACAAAGCAGCUCCUGUGCUCAUUCCUUUUCCCUCAGUGUCAGGCCCUGAAGGUCUUGGCAACCAAGCAGACAAAUCCAACAGAUUUCUCAGCUUCCUUCCUCUCCCCCUCCCUCCCAGCCCCAAGGUCACAGGGCAGGGAUCUGUAACCCAGCACUGCCUAAAAAAUCAGAACUGAGUUCUAAGUGGGAAAUUUGGACUGGAAUUGCUGCUGGACAGGGAGAGCUGUGCCCUCCCCCAGCCAGGGACUGCCACUGUCAUCUGCUUCCUGCCAGCACUGAGUGACUCCUAUUUGUUUGUGUAAUUUCUAAGUCUCCUCUAUGAUGUUUAUAUUGAUACAGCAAACCUUGUAUGAAGGUCUGAGCAGAUCUGCAGAGAGCCCAGGUGAUUAAAAAGUGCUUAGGACCGAGGUGAUUAUAAAUUACAGCCAAAGUUGGGAUCUUGUUUUACAAAUUCUGGAUCACAUUGCUUGUUGUGCUCCAUUGAUUCUGCCUGGGGAAAUCCUGUGCUGUUCUACUCAUAAAUUCUCUGCUGUAUGAAUCAUAAUAUCCAGUUAAUAAAGCUUUAAUUACAG